AGUGAACGCUGGCGGUAGGCCUAACACAUGCAAGUCGAACGGCAGCACAGUAAGAGCUUGCUCUUACGGGUGGCGAGUGGCGGACGGGUGAGGAAUACAUCGGAAUCUACUUUUUCGUGGGGGAUAACGUAGGGAAACUUACGCUAAUACCGCAUACGACCUACGGUUGAAAGCAGGGGAUCUUCGGACCUUGCGCGAUUGACUGAGCCGAUGUCGGAUUAGCUAGUUGGCGGGGUAAAGGCCCACCAAGGCGACGAUCCGUAGCUGGUCUGAGAGGAUGAUCAGCCACACUGGAACUGAGACACGGUCCAGACUCCUACGGGAGGCAGCAGUGGGGAAUAUUGGACAAAGGGCGCAAGCCUGAUCCAGCCAUACCGCGUGGGUGAAGAAGGCCUUCGGGUUGUAAAGCCCUUUUGUUGGGAAAGAAAAGCAGCAGGUUAAUACCCCGCUGUUCUGACGGUACCCAAAGAAUAAGCACCGGCUAACUUCGUG
rnacentral:rRNA from 1 species